UAUGAGCAAUCAUCUCUGGUUUUGCAGGUUUCUAAACUCUCAAUAGGCAUCAAUGACAACUUUCCCAUCACAUUAUUUCUGGCGUAGUCAUGGCCCAGCCCAGUGUGAACGGCUCCAUGGAAACAACUGCCAUUUCUUAAGAUGAUGGUUUUCACUGGCUUAAUCCAGCCGGUGGGAGCAGUAACAUCGACAGCAGAACUCCAAAGGCACUUGAGAGUUUAAGGAACCACCAGUAAACGAGGAAACAGAGAAGAGAAAAUAUACUUCCUUCAGAAUUUCUGGUUAACCAUUUAGGAACAAAACUCCCCGUCUCUACUGCUAACAGGGAAAGGGAAAACUGAGGAAUGAAACUCAGUUUGCUGUCUCUCUUAUUCAUGCAUCACAAGCUAGAUUCAGAAGUUUUCCUUGAACUAUGCACCUCUUACCAGUACCCCUUGCUAGGGGCCUGGAAAAUGGGACAGAGCGUGGGGAGCCAUCCUGACCCAGAGGGAGCAGAUCUCCAGCCCAUGAAGACACAGGUGGUCCAUGAGGAUGCCCACCAAUCUCAGAAGCCAACCUGGUUCUCCUUUCUCUGCACGGCCUUGCCAUCUCAGUGUUCGUGAUCACCUGCCAGUAAUGGCACCCCCUGCUGUGUACGUGAAGGAAGAAGCAAAGGCAGCCAUGUGCAAAGUGUCCCUUUACUUCUUAAACUGUCCCUUGCUGGCUUUGGAUGGCUUAAUUCUGCUCAGAUGGCUUGCUCCCAGAGAGGAACUUCCUCAUCGCAGAUCACUAAGAGAGGAGGUUUGACUAGUUGUCAUUAUCCUCCUCUAUUAUUAUUUAUUCAAUGCCUGCUCUCUGCACUCAGCAAGGAUAAUCACCCCAUAGUGGCUGAAUAUUAGUUGAAGAAAUGCACCUUAUGGGAUUCUAUUUGAACCCCAUUCAGUAGGAGCAUUAGGGCUUGGUUGCUUUGACUAAAUAUAUCUCUAAAUGUCUAUUCAAAACAGAGUGGAAUUUGAAGUAUAUCCACUCCCCUUAGUGUACAGCUGAAUUACUAUGAGAUUGUGACUACCAAGUAAUUGCACAAUGAUCAGCUAACAUUGAUUAUUCAGAUGAACCCUUAUUUAUCUAAUAUGUGUUAGCCACUUGUCUAAGUGGUUUACAUAUGUUACUUCAUAAACUUCACAACAAUAUACAUGAGGGAGAAAAGUUUAAUCUCAUUUUACAAAAGUAGUUAGUACAGGUUGCCCCAGACUAUAUAAAAAUAAAUGGUGUUUCAGAAUUUAUUGGUGCCUGAUACUAAAGCCAGUGUCUUUUGCUGUGCAUCACACGAUCUCCCAUUCAUUCUCAACUUUUCACAUUUUUCAGGAGUUUACAUUCUGGAACAUUUAAAAACCCUACUAGUGUGAUAAAGAAAAUAUUGUGAUAUGACUAGUGUGAUAAAGCAAUAAAGAAAAUAUUGCUGAUUGCUUGUAGAAAGA